rnacentral:piRNA from 1 species
UGACAAUGUCAAGGAUGUGGCAAUAUUA